AGAGUUUGAUCAUGGCUCAGGAUGAACGCCGGCGGUGUGCCUAAUACAUGCAAGUCGUACGCGUUGGCCCAACUGAUUGAACGUGCUUGCACGGACUUGACGUUGGUUUACCAGCGAGUGGCGGACGGGUGAGUAACACGUAGGUAACCUGCCCCAAAGCGGGGGAUAACAUUUGGAAACAGAUGCUAAUACCGCAUAACAAUUUGAAUCGCAUGAUUCAAAUUUGAAAGAUGGCUUCGGCUAUCACUUUGGGAUGGACCUGCGGCGCAUUAGCUUGUUGGUAGGGUAACGGCCUACCAAGGCUGUGAUGCGUAGCCGAGUUGAGAGACUGAUCGGCCACAAUGGAACUGAGACACGGUCCAUACUCCUACGGGAGGCAGCAGUAGGGAAUCUUCCACAAUGGGCGCAAGCCUGAUGGAGCAACACCGCGUGAGUGAAGAAGGGUUUCGGCUCGUAAAGCUCUGUUGUUAGAGAAGAACGUGCGUGAGAGCAACUGUUCACGCAGUGACGGUAUCUAACCAGAAAGUCACGGCUAACUACGUGCCAGCAGCCGCGGUAAUACGUAGGUGGCAAGCGUUAUCCGGAUUUAUUGGGCGUAAAGCGAGCGCAGGCGGUUUGAUAAGUCUGAUGUGAAAGCCUUUGGCUUAACCAAAGAAGUGCAUCGGAAACUGUCAGACUUGAGUGCAGAAGAGGACAGUGGAACUCCAUGUGUAGCGGUGGAAUGCGUAGAUAUAUGGAAGAACACCAGUGGCGAAGGCGGCUGUCUGGUCUGCAACUGACGCUGAGGCUCGAAAGCAUGGGUAGCGAACAGGAUUAGAUACCCUGGUAGUCCAUGCCGUAAACGAUGAGUGCUAGGUGUUGGAGGGUUUCCGCCCUUCAGUGCCGCAGCU
rnacentral:rRNA from 1 species